AAGCGUUGUUCGGAAUUACUGGGCGUAAAGGGCUCGUAGGCGGCCAACUAAGUCAUACGUGAAAUCCCUCAGCUUAACUGGGGAACUGCGUGUGAUACUGGAUGGCUUGGAUUUGGGAGAGGGAUGCGGAGUUCCAGGUGUAGCGGUGAAAUGCGUAGAUAUCAGGAGGAACACCAAUUGCGAAGGCAGCUCGCUGGGACGUUACUGACGCUGAGACGCGAAAGCGUGGGGAGCAAACAGG
rnacentral:rRNA from 1 species